UGCCAGUGAUAUAUUCUUGAUUUGAAGAUUAAGCCAUGCAAAUGAAGGAUGAGAUGAACGGAGAAAUUCGUUUACAUCGAACCAGUAUAAGGCUCAUUAAAAGGAUUAAAAUGUGAGGGAAAAUAAAAGAAAACAUAAAAGGAUAACUUUUCUAAAGAAAAGCUAAUACUUGAAUCUCAUGCAGGCAAUUAUUAGUUUUACGAAAAAAAGAUUUUCCAUUUUAAAGGAAUUAUAAUAAUUUGUUAAGAACGACGCAAUGUUGUUCAAUUUCCCAUCAUUUUUUCAGCUAUUAUUUAAAGUUGGUAAAGUAGAGGUUUACCAAGAAAGUAAUGGCAACGGAGAGUUAGGGCUUGACUCCGGAGAAAGAGCCUUAAAAACGGCUGUUAGGUCUAAGGAUUGCAGCAGGCGCGUAAAUUAUCCAAUGCUCUUAUGAGUGAGAUAGUGAAGAAAAAUAGAAGACUAAAGAUUAUCUUUUGGUAAUUCGAAUGAUAGAAAUGUAAAUACUAAUUAAAGAGUAACAAAUAG
rnacentral:rRNA from 1 species